UACAGGGUGAGAUGAAAAUACUGCAACCAACUUCAAACCGCUUGUGAUUUCUUUAUAUUUGAUUUCUUUAUAUUUGGCUGGAAAACCACAAGUGGCUAUCGUUAGAGCACUCCAGCAUUUAAAUGUGAAUAAAUCUUUUGUGUCUCGUACCAUCGCUCGUUACCGUGAUACUGGUAGCGUAGCCCGAUUUCAAGGAAGUGGACGGAAGAAAACAGCAACAUGAGCAAAAAUGGUUCGAAAAGUGGCUCGUGAGCUGAACAAUAUUCCAUUCGGCAGAUAUUGAAAAAUGAGAUCAGGGUAAAGCUAUUGAAAUUCCAAAAAGUGCAAGAACUUACACCGCAAGAGAAAGAAAA